ensembl:lncRNA
UCCUCCUCGUUUUGCUGAGGAAGAUUGGCCUUGAGCUAACAUCCAUGCCCAUCUUCCUCUACUUUAUAUGUGGGAUGCCUGCCACAGCAUGGCUUGAUGAGCAGUGCGCAGGUCCGCACCUGGGAUCCAAACCAGCGAACCCCAGGCUGCUGAAGCAGAGAACACGAACUUAACCACUACACCACCAGCUGGCCUCUGGAAAAACAUUCAAAGCAGAGGGAACACAAGCAACGAAGACCUGUGCAAAAAAUGCGUGGCAUCUUUGGGAAUUGGUUUUCCCUGGGAAGCUAACAUUGUCAACGCUAAAACUUUUGAAGAUUAUGCCAAGAGGCUAUUUGUUUAUUUGAGGGAACUGCAGGAGUAGAUUGCGGCCGUAUCGGGCGUGUUCCUCUAGGAUGUUAUAGCUGGAUGAUGUUUGAAGAGUUUUCAAAAAAAUUUUAUUUGACUUUUGAGUUCUUACUGAUACUCUUUCAUGCCAUUUUUGUUAUUUGGAAGUGGUUGGUAUCUUUUUUUCCCCUUUGAUGAGAACAACAAAUCUGACAUAACUGUCGAGCUGGGACCUGUCAAGGUGCUCAUUAGGACACUCACAGCUGUUGUAAGCUCUAAGCGAAAGACAUGAGGCCUAAGACUGAAAUGAGGUUGUUUUGAGGCCAUCUGAUUUCUGACUAGAAGGUGUGCGAUCGCCUCGUCCUGAAACCACUUCAAACAGAAUGGUUUGCAAUUUUUUUUGGUGAUGGCAUGUUCAGAAUCUUGGAUCCCUAAGUUGAAUAUAUUGGAAAUAUUUAGGAACCUUGGAAAUUGUUUUUGUAUGCAUAAUGACUUACUAGGUGGAUCAGUAGGCUUAAUCAAAAGUAUAUAAAAGAGUUCUCUCUCGCCUCUGAAAGGAGCGUCAAAUCUCGAAGGACGCUUACUGCUUUACACAUUGAACUGAAGCUCCUGUCCCGAGCUUUGUCAUGUAAUGGAGCAGAAAUCCUCUGCACAGGGCCCUCAGCGUCCAGGUGCUGAGAACAGAGCCCGAGACGUUGAGGGGUGGCACUGCCCUCCUCGUAAGACCUGCGCCUGCUGGUUUAGGGGUGUUUGUUUCAUAGUCAAGUUGAAUGUUAAUGUUUUCUUUUUAAAAAUGAGCAUAUUUCUUCUAUAUUUUUUAUUAUUAUAAAUGUUUUUUUUUUACCUAACUGUGACUUUUUCUCAUGUCUUAAGAUAUCAAAUUCAUGGUGUAAAAUGUGUACUUUAGAUUAACAUAGUGACUGGAAAUUUAGGAUUCUGUUAUUUUUUGACUGAAAUUUGUAGCACAUUUUCGAGAAGAUUGUUCAGAUCCCCAGAUAAUUGGUUCUUUAUUCCUUUCAAGUUUCCUAAAUGUAUAAUUACUUCAGAAUUUUAUUAAUCCAUUUAUAAGUUUAGAGAAAGCUGUCUUCAGUUUAUAUUUUGACACAGAAUGGAUGUGUUUGAUUUAUCUUAUUCGGAAUAUGUUUUGACAAAAGUUUGCUUUCAAGUAGCUCUCAUCUUCGUUUUGGAAUCUCAGAUCACCUGCUUGUAAUCACUCAUUGGGACUUUUCUGCAAAAUACAGCUUCACUGAGAAGGUCGUCCUUGGAAAAUCAAGAAUUGGGACUGAGUGGAGAGAUGGAAGAGCGUCAUCAGAUUGAGCCCAGCACGUUCUGGAAACGUUAGACUGCAUUGCCUUUGUACAUGGACCAUAAUGUGACUGUCUUUUGUGAAUUGGACCUAUAGACAGAUAAAAUAACCUCGUAAAAUGUACCUUUACUGUAAGAAGAACACCACU